AGCAGGGGAACUUCAACUAAACGUGCACGUCCUGUGCACAACGUUGAAGUCAUCACAUCCUGUGAA
rnacentral:sRNA from 1 species